ensembl:lncRNA TMEM161B-DT TMEM161B divergent transcript
GGCGCAGCACAGGUACGUGGGCGGGCGGAUCGUGGUGGCUGCGCUUGCGAGGACCCUGAGGUAGAUUGGGUGGUUUCAACAGGAACGCAUCCACUGUCUGAGAGGUGGCAAUUGAAGCCGGAAGAACAUCUACCAAGAGCAGAGAACCCAGGAAGAAAAUUCUGCCUCUUUAAUACGUUCCAAUAUGGACGUUUUCCAUAUAGAUACCUAUCUAUAUAGAUAGAUGCUCUGGGAUCUGACGGUCCUGGACACCUGUAUGGCUGUGUGCUGUGGUCUUUGCCUAGCCUGCGGUUCACUUUUGCUCUGGCCACCACCUCCCCUCAUGUACAAACCGCGUCUCUGCUCUGCCAGUCUUGGCCCCCGUCAGGCAGCGGUUCACUCCCUCACCAGGGAAGUCUAGAUAGAUAGAUAUAGAUAGAUAUCGAUCGAUAGAUAUAGAUAUAUAUAUAGAUAGAUAGAUAGGUAGAUAUAUGGAUAGAUAUAGAUAUUUGGAUAGAUAUGUAGACGUCUAUCUAUAAAUAUAUCGAUAUAUCGGGGUUCUCAGCCAUCCCAAAGAAGCUUGCACAGGGCCAGUUGCUUUAUGUCAGGAAAAGGGACACAGACUGAGUGUAUGAGGGUUUUUUUUUUCUAUAGAUGUAUAGAUAUUUAUAUCAGAUGCAAAUAAGUGAAACUCUCAUACAACUUUUAAUUUUGUGUUUUUUCCAAACUCUAUUCCAUUCAACUUUUUCUGCCUUUUUAUUUGAUUAUAAUGAGACAUCGUACUGGAGGCAGGCUUGAAAUGGAUAUACAGAGCACUUUCAACCCAGAAAUUUGUCUCACGACUUGGGGUCCUUACUUAAGUUGUAGCUGUUAGUAAUUUCAUCCAUGAAUUCACUUUGUGCCAUAGUGUGAUGUUUUGUUAUGAAGUUGGAAUUGGGAAGGGAAACUAGGAAGUUUUGGGAGAAGUUAAGAAGGUUGAGUAGGCAGGCGUUGUUAUAGAUAUUAAAUUUCACCCUGCUUAUCAAAGUACCUGGAGCGUAUGGUAUCCAAGCUGUAAAUGGCCCAAAGGAAUCGGGGUUCUCAGCCAUCCAAAAGAAGCAUGCACAGGGCCAGUUAUUUUAUGUCAGGAAAGGGGACACAGACUGAGUGUAUGAGGGUUUUUUUUUUUGUUUUUUUUUUUUAGUUUAAACUUGAUUUUGUGAGGGGACGAACAGCGUGACAAUUAAAAGAAGAUCUGGGAAUCGUAAGUACUGACAGAAUACCUGGAGGGAAGGUGGGACUGGAGAAUAGUUUGUGAAACAGAUCCUGCUGAGGAUGAAUCCAGAACUUCCUGAAGGGUUCCGCUUCUGCUGUGUAGGGACAAGGUUGUAAAUAGACAAGCCACAGGCACCUGCAAAUGGUAAGUGUGGUAGAGAGGGGCUGGAAUUGCCUGUUGGUGUAUCUGUGGGAAGCAGCUGCUAUCCUUGAGGAAGAAAAGAUGGAGAAGGUAAGUGGCUAUCAACCUGUCAGAGACAACACAUUCUGUGAAGUUGUACUCUUUCAUUUCUGACACUGUGGUUCUUAAUAUCUGUCCUAAACCUGGCAGUCAUUGAGGUUCGCAAAGUAUCUCCUUCUAUGUGACAGUAAAACUGGAAUUACUAUCAGAAUGGAAUCCAUUCCUGCUAGAGUAAAACCAUGAAAAGAAAUCGCAGUUUUGAUUAUCUGCUUAUCAUUUUUAAUAGAUCACAGAGUGCAGUGUUCCUUAUUUGUUGUAUGGCAAGUUGAUGAAUAACUCUUGAUUAAUAUCUUUUAAUGUUCUGUUUCACACAGUUCUCUCAAUUACAUGUGAAAAAUCUGUUAUAUAAGUAAUGCUAUUUAAUGAUUAAAAUGGAUAUAUGUUUUAAGGUAGUGCCACCCAGUCUUUUUUUUUUGGUAGAAUAAUAUUAUUAUCUAUUGGUUGCCUGCCUUGAAGUACAGUAAUUUCUCUGUUUCCAUUAUUUAAAAUAGGUGAGUGUCUUUGACAAAGAUACAAAGAAAGGGGACAGUUAUGAAAGGGAAGAAAAGAUAGAUGGAGAUGAAAAGAAAUUCAGUAGUUUCAGCAAGGGAAUUAGGAGCAUAAUCUUUGAGAAAAGUCUUGGUUGCUUACCAUUCGGGCUUUGUGAUGAGUUGAAAUGUCCUGAAUGAGAACUGUUCUCAAAUGCUUUCAAGACCAACAAAAAGUACGAUACCCACACUGACCUGGAACUCUUUAAACCAUUAAGAUAUAUCACUUUUUCGCAGUUCAGUCCAUAUUUUUUGCAAAAUGUUCUGCUUAGUUUUUCUGCUAAGAAAUUACUGUUUCUGAACAAGGUUAAGUGUCGUAUGCUUUCAUUGUAGUUUUUUUUCCCCUAACAUAUACUGUUUUCCUAAUUAGACUAUAAAUUCCUCCACAGCUGGGACCUUGUUUUGUUUUCUCGCCUUCCCCAUAACAAAUAUCAUUUAAGUGAAUGUUGUAAACAGUUACUUCAUUUAAAUUGCCCUUAAAAUGCUUUAUGACAAAGACGUUAUUUGUAGUAAUACCUAUAAUGGUAAAAAGUUUGUUGCAGUCUUACAGACGAUAAGAUUGAUCAAUUGUUAUAUAUGCUUAGUGGAAUUUUAUCUAGCUGUUCUAAAGAGCCAUUAGACUAGUCUUUCUAAUGGAAAAUGUUUAUUGUCUAAGUUAAAACAGCAUUUGAGGCCAGGCACAGUGGCUCACUCCUGUUAUUGCAGCACUAUGGGAGGCUGAGGUGGGAGGAUCACUAGAGCACAAGAGUUGGAGACUAGCCUAGGCAAUAUAGUGAGACCUCUUCUCUACAAAAAAUUUAAAAAUUAGCUGAGUGUGAUGGGGUGUGCCCGUAGUUCCAGCUACUCAGGAGACUGAGGUGGGAGGAUCACUUGGGUCCAAGAGGUAGAUGUUGCAGUAAACCAAGAUCAUGCCACUGCACUGCAGCCUGGGCAACAGAGCAAGAUCCUGUCUCAAAAAAUUAAAAAGCAUUUUAUAGACUGCAUGUUUGUGUCCCCCCUCCCUCCGCACCAGAAUUCAUAUAUUGAAGCCUUAAUCUCCAAUGACAUGAUAUUAGUAGGUGGGGCCUUUGGGGGGUGAUUAAAUAAUAAGGGUGAAGCCCUGCAUGGGAUUAGUGCCUUUACAACAAGAGACCCUAGACAGCUUGCUUCCACUCUUUCUUUGCUCUUCACCAUGUGAGGACACAGCAAGAAAACAGACAACUACAAAUCAGGAAGAGGGCCUAAUUUGUGCCAACCAUGCUGGCACUCUUCUCUAACUUCCCAGCCUCCAGAACUGUGAGAAAUAAAUUUCUGUUGUUUAAGUCACCCAGUUUAUGGUAGUUUGGUUAUAGUUGCCCAUAUUAAGACAGCAGGAUGCAAAAUUGUGGCCAGUAUGAUUGCUUUGACAUGAAACAAAUUUUAAGCACAAAUUGCAAAAAGUAACCAAAAUAUAUCAAUCCCCACUGCUGGCAUUAACACUCUAAAACAAACUUUGUAUAUUGGGGGAUUUUAUUUAUUUAUUUAUUUAUUUUUUUUGCUGACCAUAGUGACUCAUGCCUAUAAUCCCAGCACUUUGGGAGGCCGAGUUGGGCAGAUCACUUGAGGCCAGGAAUUCAAGACCAGCCUGGCCAACAUGGCAAAACCCCCUCUUUACAAAAAUAUAAAAAUUAACCAGGCAUGGUGGCACACCCCUGUAGCCCCACCUACUUGGGAGGCUGAGGUGGGAGGAUCGCUUGGGCCUGUGAAGCAGAGGUUGCGGAGAGCUGUGAUGGCACCACUGCACUCCAGCCUGUGUGACAGAGCGAGACUAUCUCAAGAAAAAAAAAAAAGGAUGAGGAUUUUUUUUGUUUUCAACAUGCUUUUUAACAUCCACUAUAUUACUCUCAUCUUUCUAGGCUGGAAAAAAAAAUGUUUUAAAUGUUAUUCUGAAGUAUAUUGCAACCUUUAACAAUUCAGUAGACUUCUGAAUUUUUAUUUUCAUGUAGCUUACCACAGUUGUAUCUAGGAAUAUAUCACAUAGCUGAUUAAUUGGUGAAAUAACCCUUGCAAUUUUACACAGGUUGUACAGUGCACAUUUUCAAGGACCACUCACAUACAUCCAUUUGAUAUUUUUUGGUAUCAAGAAAGUCUUUAAACAAUCAGUACCACCAAUAGCAGUAAAAAGACAAAACUGUCUGAAAGUACCUAUCUGUUUAAAACUUUAAUUAGCUUUAUCCAUCCAUUAAAUAGUUAUUGAAUAUAAAACUGUAUCAUUCACUCUUCUACACUCUGAGGAAAUAGUGGUAAAUAAAGCAGAUAUUGUCCCUACUAUCAGGAAAUUUACAUUUUAGUAGUAAUAAGCCAUAAAUUAACAAAAACAGAAGACAGUGGUAAGUACUAGGCAUGAAAUUCAAACAUGACUAUUUUAGAUUAGGUGAUUAAAGAAACUAAAAUACCAUUUAAGCUGCUGUGUAAAUGACAAGAGAAUCCAGCUUUGUAAAAAUUGGUGAACCCUUUGCUUGCAGAAGGGACAACUGCAAAAUCUAAGGCAUGAUCUAGCCUGGAAUAUUUCAGGAGCCAAAAGAAGGCCUGCAUGGUUAGAGAAUAGUGACUUAAGACGCAAAUACUGUAACUUUGGAGGGAUAGGAAAGGGCUAGAUCAUGUUACCUUUGAAAGACAGGAAAGAGUUUAGAUUUUAUUCUAUGUGCAAUGGAAAAAAAAAUGAGAGCAUUUUAAUCCAAAGAGUAAUAUAAGAUAAUAUAUUUUUAAAAUCCACUUUGGUAAUUUGUUAAUUGGCAUAAAGAGUCAGCUUUCAUGUAACAUAAUUACUAACAUACUUGGAUUUAAAUUUGUCAUUAUUCUUAUUUUAUUUGUCCCACCUCUUAUAUGUUCAUUUUGUCUUCUUUUGCCUUUUUGAUUUUUUUUUUUCUUAAUUAGGCCAUAGCACCUGAUAUUCCCAGGCAGACUCUCAUCCAAGUGCCAAUCAGCCCCAGCCCUGCUUAGCUUCCCAGAUCAGAUGAGAACAGGCAUAUUCAGGGUGGUAUGGCUAUAGACCUUUUAGAUUAUUUUUAAUUAUUCCAUUUUUUCUACCUCAUAAGCUUGACAGAUGUCUUUUAGUAUCUUUUUACUGUUCACCUCAGGUAUUAAAACAUGGAACCUUGGUUUAUCAUCUUUAAGAUAAUUUGGUAUUAUACUUCUUCCAGGACAAUGUAAGGACCUGCGAACACAUCAACUUCAUUUACUGCCACACCUCAUGUUAUAUACAUUGUAUAUUCUUAAUAUGUAUUUCCUAAAUUCUCAAGACAUUUUUUAUACAAUAUGAAUUUACAUUUCAUAUUGUAUAAAACAUUUACUUUUUCUAUUGUGUUUCGUGGUUCCUGGAAUCUGAGCUUCCAUCUAAGACCUUAUUUCUUCUUGAAGGACAUACUUUAAUAUUUCUUCGAAUAUCUACUGGUAACAAUUCAUUCAGAUUUUCUGUCCUGACACUGUCUUAUUUUACUUUCAUUUUCUAAGAACGUUUUUGCUGAAUUAGCAGCUAUUUUAUCAUUUUGAAGAUAUAUUUUAUUCCUUCUGGCUUCCAUUAUGUCCUCUAAGACAUAAUGUCCAUUUUGUUUUUUUCUCUUCAAAGGUAAUCUUUUUUUGGAUGGCUACUUUUAAGAGGUUUGUCUUAAGUUUGGUGUGCCCACAUGUGUUUUGUGUUUGUUUUUUUGUGUGUGUGGUUUUUUUCUGCUUCGAGAUUGAUAAUGUUUCUUGAAUCUGGCUGUGAUGUCCUUAGGCUGUUUGAGAAAAUUCUUAGCUCUGUUUGAUCAGACAUUGCUUCUGCUUUCACUCUCCUUUCUCCUCUUCUUUUGAUACUCCACUUACAUUUGUAUUUGACAAUUCACUUUGUCCCUUGUAUUUUCCAUUUAUUUUCUUGUCUGUUUCAUCCUGAAUAUUUCUUCUUAACUUUCAGUUCACUAUUUUCUCUUAGUAGUCUCGAAUUUGUUAAAUCUCUCUUGAAGCAUUUAUUUUAGUUAUAUUUUUGGUUAUCAGUUCAAACAUUUCUACUUGAUUCUGUUUUAUUGUUUCCAGUUGUUUAUCCAAUAUCUCAAUCUUUUAUUUCCUCAAACAUACUAAUCAUAAUUACUUUAAAACCUGUAUCUAAUAACUAUGGUGUCUGCUAUUAUCUGACACUUUUCUUGUUUCUUGCUGUUAUCACAUUGUCUUGCUUUUAUGUCCCUUAUUUUUAUGUUAUUUUGUAUUAUUUAUUUUAUAAACAUUAUAAAUAUAUAAAACUUGGCUUAGGUUAUGUUUUAAUUGAAUGUCAGAAUUGUUUUGAUUGAACUGUAUAUGAGGAAACUAUACUUUGAAGUCCAAUAUGAUGGUAUUUUCUAAAGAAAGAAUUUAUGUCUCCUGGCAAGACCUUUGGACACUAGUAAUCUAAGAUCUUCUUAAUCUGGUUAGUGAUAGAGACAAUUAGAAUAUAGGCAGGUCUAUUUCCUGUUCAUACUUUCACAAUGUAGACCUCUGAAGUCCCAACUCAAGCAUGCAGAGUUUACCAGAUCAGGCCCUAAACUUCAGUUUUUGUCUUUUUAAUUCUAUGGGUUAGAAACUCUGUUCAACUUUUCAGCCAUCACCUCAGGAAUCAGAAGAUACUCCAGAGGAAAAGCUAAUGUAAAUGCUGGAUUCAACAACUCUGUUUUUUCCUUCUGAAUAUUUCAUUGUCUCUAAUGCUGUCAGAUGUUUGUUUUAUAUUUUGUCCAAGCUGAGUGUGGUGGCUCACGUCUGUAAUUUCAGCACCUUGGGAGGCCAAGGCGGGACCAUCCCUUGAGGCCAGGAAUUUGAGACUAGCCUAGGCAACAUAACAAGACCUUUGUCUCUUGGAAAAAAAUAAAUAAAUAAAUAUUAUUAGAAGUGAAAAUGGGGAUGUUGUUACAAAUGCUGUGGAGAUUGAUGAGAAAUUAUGAACAACUUAAUAAUAAAUGGGAAAAUAUAAAUGAAGUAGGCAGUUCCAGAAAAUGUAACUUUUCAAAAGCCAUGUAAUGGAAAAUAUAAAUGGUGGGAUGUUGAUGUAAGAAAUCAUGAUGCCCAGAGACUUUUGCCAAACCUUCAAAGGACAGAUCAUUACAAUUUUACACAAACCAUUCCACAGUAUAUUCCACUUAUAUACUGUGGAAUUGGCCCUUACUGCCCUUAUCAAAUUUAACAUCAAGGUUACAGAAGCUUAAUAUUACUGCCCUGAUUUUAUUAGGGCAGUAAUGAUUUGAUAAGGGCAGUAAGAAUUACAGCCCUGUCAUAUUCGCAAAGACAAAAAUCCUAAAUAAAACAGACCUUAGAAAAUGUGUUUUUAAGAAAAGAUAAUAAAACAUGAUCAGGUUGAAUUUAACCCAGGAAUGUAUUUUAGUAUAUUAAGAGAUUAGAAAAACUAUCUGGCUAUCUGAACAGAUGCAGGAAAAGAAAACUAUUUGAAAAAAUUAACAGACAUAGAUAAACCUUUGGGCAAAUUAGAAUUGUGUAGAACUUCCUUGAGCCAAUAAAACCUACAACAACAAUAUUUUAAGAUGAAGUAUUUGAAGCAGUCCAUUAGAAUCAGGAACAAGUACUAUGUUGGAGAUCCUAGCCAGCAUUAUAAGGCAAGAAAAACAAAAGAUUAAAAAUUGUAAAUAAACAUAACUUAGUCUACAGAUAAAUUAUUGAAGAGCUUUGCAAGGAUUCUGAAUAUACUAUUGAUAUGGUUUGGAUCUGUGUCCCUACCCAAAUCUCAUGUUGAAUUGUAAUCCCCAAUGUUGGAGGUGAGGCCUGGUGGGAGAUUGGAUCACGGGAAUGGGUUUCUCAUUCGUGGUUUAGUACCAUCCUCUUGGUACUGUCCUUGAAAUAGUUCUUAGGAGAUCUGGUAAUUUAGAAUUGUGUGGUACCUCUCCCCUCUCUCUUGCUCUUGCUCCCCCUUUGCCUUCCACCAUGAUUGGAAGCUUCCUGAAGCUGCCUCAGAAGCAGAAGCCACUAUGCUUCCUGUACAGCUUGCAGAACCAUGAGCCAAUUAAACCCCUUUUCUUUAUAAAUUACUCAGUCUCCAGUAUUUAUAGCAAUGUGAAAACAGAUAAUAUGACUAUCAAUAUACAAAAGUGAAUUGCAUUUCUUUCCAGCAGAAAUGAACUGUUAGAAAAUGAUUUUUGUAACAUACCAUUUACUAUAUUCCUUUAAAAAUAUAAAUUAGGUAACUUAACAAAAGGUAUAGAAGACCUCUGUAGAAAAUUACAAAACUUUAUUGACAGGCAUUUAAAAAUGUCUAAUUUUAAAAUUGCCAUGUUCAAUGAUUAAAAGACUCGAGUUAAGAUGGCAGUUCUCCACUACACAAUGAAGGUAAUUGCAAUACAAAUCCCAAAUGAGUUUUUCAAGGAGCUUGACAAACUGAUUCUAAAGUCUGUAUGACAAAAAGCAGAAUUCAGGAUACUCCAGAAGCAGAUUUAAGAUAGAAUUGACUUGUAGAUAUUCGUAACAGCAAAAAAAUAAAAACAACUCAAAUAUCCAUCAAAAGAUAAAAUGUUUAUCCAUGAAAAGAUACUCAAAAAGUGACACCUUUAUAUAAUGGGAUAUAUUUGGCUGCAAAAAGGAAUGAACUGCUAAUACCUGCUAUAAUGUGGAUAAACCUUGAAAGCCUGCUGAAAUAAAGAAGCCAGUCACAAAGGACCACUUAUGAUUCCAUUUAAACAAAGUGUAUAAAGUAGAAAAUGUAUUGAGACAAUAGAUUGUGGUUGUUUAGGGCUUACAAAGUUUGGGGUGAUGGGGGCCCGAGGUAGUGACAGCUAAAGGGUGCAGUUUCUUUUUGAGGCAAUAAAGUUCUAAAAUGUAUAGUUGCACGUUUCUGUAGAUACACUAAAAUCAAUUCAGUUGUGCAUUUAAAUGAGUAAAUUGGUAUGUGAAUUGUACCUCAAUAAAUCUGUUAAAACCAUAGUAAUUAGGAUAUUGUAAUACUGGCUUAGAGAUGGAAAAAUUGAUUUAUAAGGAAUCCUGAUUGUAAGGAAUCUUGACUUAUGUCAGAGAUGGCAUUGCAUACCAGCAGGGAAAGCUAGAUCAUUUCAAUAGAUGACGCUGCAUAUUCAUAUGGGGGAAAAAUGAAAUUGGUCCUCCCUACCUAACACCAUACAGAAAAAGUAGUUUCAGAUGACUUUAAGAUGUAAGUGUGAAAGGAAAACAUAGUAAACCUUCAAAAGAAAGAUUGCAAAAUAUUUUUAUGAUCUUAUGGUAGGGAAAUGUAAUAUGUAUAAAGGAAAACAUGUAUGUCCAAUAUGUUAAAGUUAAAAACCUCUGUUCAAGACUCCAUAAACCCUCAGAAUAGCGGUUAAUUUCAGUCAUGCCCAGGAAACAUACAAGAUGAGCCUGGAAUACCUUGUGCAAGAUAGCAAGGAAGCUAUUAGAGACUACGAGGGUGUCAUAUCAAAUGGACUCAGGAGACAACUGAAAAGCAUCCUUCUGGCCAUAGAUGAGACCAUUUGAGUGUCAAUAAGGACAGUAAAUGCAAUUGAUUGGAACAUAUCAAGUGUCUUUAAAUCUGAGUACAUAAUGAUUGUAAAACAAACAGCAUUUAGUUGGUCAACAGUAGAAGAUGCUGUUGCAUCAAUUCAUUAUUUUGAAAAUCAGUUUUGUUUUGUUUUUAAAGUAAUUAGGCAUUUGUCCUGCCUUUUGUAUGUGAACUGUAAGUAACCACAUAGUAGAUGAGGAGAGGGUUCUCUUUGUACAUGUAUUCUAGCUAAUAAAUGGAGGAAUGAUAGAAAAUUGCCAUUUUGAAAUUCCUAAUGAACAAAUGGAUUUAUUUAUUGCAUUUCAACAGCUGCUAACAUGACAGACAAGAAAACAUAUGUUUCUUAAUGGAAAAACACCACUACUGAUGUUAAAAUCUUAUCAAAAAUUUGACCCUGAUACUAAUCAGGUCUUUAGAUCCAUCCAAUUUGCAGAAAAUAUAAACACCAUUAAAACUUUAAGCCAAUGAAACCUACCACAACGUAAUAUUUUGGAAUGGAAAAUAUAAAUGAAAAAUCCAAUUUUGGAGAAUAUUGGGACAAAUUAAUUUCAACAAAUAUGUUGCAGGAGAAAAGGAGACGAGAAGGACAAGUGGAGAAAACCGUAGAUUACAAGAGACUUAGUUCAAUAUGAAGCAACCUGUGAACUUGGAUUAGUUAUCUUACUGUAUAACAAAUCACCCUAGCUUAAAUCUAAAAAUAUUUAUACACUUUCUUAGGAUCCACAGGUGGUUUAGCUAGAUGUUCUGGCCCAAGGUCUCAUGAAUUUGCAGUCAAGAUGUUGGCUGGGCUGUAGUCUGAAAGUUUGACUGGUGUUAGAGGAUCCACUUCCUAGAGGGCUCAUUCGUAGAGCUGCCUGUGUUUUCUCACAACAUGGCAACUGGCUUUCUCUAGAACAGGUGAUCCAAGAGAGAGACAGAAACCAUGAUCAUUCAGAGUGAUGUAACAUUACUUCUACUAUAUAAUGUUAGUCACACAGACAUUUCCCUGACAAUAUGUGGGAGGAGAUUACACAAGAGCAUGAAUACUGGGAAGCUAGCUGUCACAAUUUGGCCCCAAUGAUUGAUAGUUCUUGAUUUGCAAAAUAUAUUCAUCCCCUCCAAAAGCUCUCCAAAGCUCUCAUCCUAUGACACCAUUAGUUCAAGGUCUAGAAAUCUAAAUCAGUUCCAAUUGUGGAUGACACUCAUAGGUGUACUUAAGUACAGCUCCUCAAGAAGAGUUCUUUUUGAUCUGAAGACUCAUACACUAAAGACACAGUCUCUGCUUCCACAUGUAAUAGAAAAUGAAUAGGAUAAUAAAUGUGGACAUGUAUAUUUAAAAAGAGGGAAUAUUGGAGGUACAUAGGUUCACAGAAAUUCUGAAACCCACCUGGGCACAGAUUGGCAGUUGCUUGGUCAAGUUUCAAGGCCUAGAAUUCUCUUAGCUCUGCCUUCUGGGAUCUUGGAUCUACUCACUGAGUCACCCUUUCUUUUUCUUGUUUACACUUCUGCCUGCUUUCUGCCUAUAGAAGCUUGGAUGUCCCACAAGCUUCUUUCCAUUUGGUUCUCUCUGUGCCUUUCAGUCCAGGCUGGCCAUGUUUCUGCUAAUAGACUUCUCUUAAAAACUUUGUGGCUCACUUGUGAAUUUUGAGUUCACUCCAUCAGACAAAAGCAACAACCACACAUCUCGUCCCACAUAAACUCUGCCUCAAGCUUUUGCUGAUGAAAAUACCCUUAAACUUUUUAAAAACCUGUGAUGUUAUUCAGAGAUUUUCUGAGACACAUCGUUUGUCUGAUGAAAAUACUCUGAGGCACAACUUAAGAUCUUUCUGAGCUAUUAAAGGACUUUAUAACUACAGCCUCAACUUUAUGUUUUACUGGCAGUGCCCUAGAUUUGCUUUUUGCUCAGAGAUAUUCCCCAAUUUUAGCACAUUUGUCAUCUGCACAGGCUGGGAAUCUUCAAAUCCAGCAAGUUUUGACUUGUUUUUGUUUGUUUGUUUGUAAUAGAGUCUGUUUUUUGCUGUGUUGGCCAGGUGAUCUUGGACUCCUGGCUUCAAGCAUUCCUCCCACCUCAGCCUCCCAAAGUUCUGGGAUUUUAGGUAUAAGCCACCAUGCCCAGCCAUGGCUCCUUUUUGUUUAACAGUCCUUACUUUGAUGGUCUCUCUUCUCACACAUUUUACUAUCAGCAACAAGAAAAAAUACACAUGAAAUAUUUAACACUUGGCCGGCAAUCUCCUUUGCUAGAUCAAUGAGUUAAUUAGGCAUUUUUUCUACUUUGUACAUAUCUGUGGAUAACAAAUUUGCUAAACUUUCUGCCAUUAUGUAACAAGGAUCUCCUUCCCUCUAGUUUCCAAGAAGAGUUUUCUAAUCUGUUAAGAUGUCACCUGCAGCCUCCUCAAAGGUUAUCUAUUAUGCUUCUAUAAAAAAUUUCUUCAAAGCUCUUCAAACUUUCAUUAACACUCUCCUCCAAGUUCUACCUUCUGUUCACUGCCAGUUUUAAAACCACACUUACAUUUUAGGUUUUUGCUAACACCCCACUUCUGAGUACCAAAAUGUAUACUGAUUUUCUAUUGCUGCAUAAUAAACUGCCCCAAAAUACAACAUGCAAAGCAAUAAAUAUUCAUUAUCUCAUGUAGUGUCUGAAGGUCAAAAAUCCGGAAGCAGCAUAGCUGAGUGGUUCUGAUUCAUUGUCUCUUGUGAAGUUAUCAGUCAAACCAUCAGCUGAGACUGUAAUCAUCUGAUGUUUUAACUAGUACCAGAGGAUACACUUUCACAUGCUAUUGGCAGGACACUUUAGUUCUUCACUAGCUGUUUAGCAGAAUACCGCACUUCCUCACCACAUGUACCUCUUCAUAGAGCUUCCUGGCUUCCUCUAAAACAAGUAAUCCAAGAGAGAAGCAGAAGCCACCAUGGUUUUUUAUGCCGUUGUUGACCUAGCCCCCAAAGUGACAUAUUAUUACACAGAUAUGUAGCCAACCUGUGGGUCACUGAUACGGUUUGGAUGUGUGUCCCCUCCAAAUCUCAUGUUGAAAUGUGAUUCUCAGUGUUGGAAGUGGGGCUGGUGAUAGGUGUUUGGUUCAUGAGGGUAGAUCCCUUAUGAAUGGCUUGGUGCUGUCUUUGUGGCAAUAAGUGAGUUCUCACUAUCUGAGUUCACACAAGAGCUGGUUGUUUAAAAGAGCCUGUCAUCUCUUUUGCUCCCUUUCUCACCAUGUGAUAUGCUGCUCCCCUUCUCUUCUGCCAUGAAGAAAAGCUUCCUGAGGCCUUCACCAGAAGCAGAUGCUGGUGCCGUGCUUCUACAGCCUGCAGAACUGAAGGACUUUACAGCUUCUCUUUCGCAUAUCCAAAUUGCCAGCAUCACCGCUCUUGCACUCCAAGCCAUUAUUAAGUAAAGUAAAGAACACAAACACUGUGAUACUGCUACACUUGAUCUGAUAACCAAGAAGUCUACUAAGUGACUAACAGCAGAGCAACUGGGAACCUAAUUCUGACCAAAAAGGAGGAAUUGUUUGGCUAAUUGGAAGUGACAGAAACCUUGGGAGAAAGCAACCGCAUACCAAGGAUAAUUAUAAGAAGAAGAGAAGACAUGGAGAAGAGGAGGGAGUAGUUGUGACCGUGGAGGCAGAGAAUGGAGUAAUGUGAUCAUAAAUCAAGGAAUGCUGACAGCCACUAAAGCUGGAGAAGGCCAAGGACAGAUAUUCAAUCCUCCCGUAGAAGUACAGCCCUGCUAAUGCAUUGAUUUUGGACUUCUGGCCUCAGAACUAUUUAUAUAUCAGCUUUUUAUCAGUUGAAAUAAACCACCCUGGGCCGGGUGCAGUGGCUCACACCUGUAAUCCCAGCACUUUGGGAGGCCGAGGCAGGUAGAUCAUUUGAGGUCAGGAGUUCAAGGCCAGCCUGACCAACAUGGUGAAACCGCAUCUCUACUAAAAAAUACAAAAAUUAGCCCGGUGUUGUGGCAGGCGCUUGCAAUCCCAGCUACUCAGGAGGCUGAGGCACAAGAAUUCCUUGAACCUGGGAGGUGGAGGUUGCAGUGAGUCGAAACCAAGCCACUGCCCUCCAGUCUGGGCAACAGAUUGAGAGUCUGUCUCGAAAAAAAUAAAUACAUAAAAUAAAUAAGCCACACUGUACUUGUGAAGAUUAACUGAGAUGUUUAAAACAUUAUUUGCAAAAAUGCAAGACAUGAUGUAAGUGUAAAGCAUUAUUAUAUAUCAACAUAAUUGACCAUUAGAAAAAUGCAAAUUAACACCUCAAUGAGAUAUAUCACCAGACACCUGUUAGAAUGGUUAAAAUAAAAAGUACUGAUGAUAUUAAGUGCUGAUAAAAUGCAGAGUAACUCGAUCUCUCAUACAUUGCUGAUGCUAAUGUAAAAUGAUAUCACCACUCUAGAAAACAGUUUGGCAGUUUCUUAUAAAGUUAAACAUGCACUUACUAUACAACCCAGUAAUACACCUACUGGAUAUUCAUUCUAGGGAGAUCAAAAUUUACACCCAAAAACAUGUACAUAAAUGUUCAUAUCAGCUUUAUUUACAAUAGCCCAAAAGGAAACAAUCAGAUGUCCUCCAAUUGAUAACUGGUAUAACCCUAUCACAGAAUCCUACUGAGCAAUAAAAAGGAAAGCACUGUUGAUACAUACAACAACUUGAGUGCAUUUCAAGGCUGUUAUGCUGACUGAAAUAAAAGCUAAUCUCAAAAGGUUAUGUAUUAUGUGAUUCUGUUUAUAUAACAUUCUCAAAUUGCAAAAUCACAGCAAUGAAGAACUGAUCAGUAGUGCCAGGGGUUAGGGUUGUGGGGAGGGUGUGAUGAUGAAUGGGCAGCGUAAGAGAAUUUCUUUGGAGUGAUGGAAUAGUUUUAUAUCUUGAUUAUAGUGAUCAUUAUAUUAAACAAUUGCAUGUGAUAAAAUUCUAUAGGACUGUAUGCCAAAAAUAACUUAAUAUGUUUAUUUUUAAGGUCUGGAAAGCAUGGAAAUUUGUAUCUUCAUUCACUUUUGUUUUCAUGGACUCUUUUCAUGUUUGAACUUUUCAUGGUAUGAGCUGUUUUAUAAUCUAUAAUAUGGAAUGUUUCUCAUACGAAUGUUUUUCUUAUUGAAGAAUGCCAUAGAAAUAAGGGUGUGAGGUAUACUUACUUGACAGGAGAAUUUUACUCCUUUUAUUUUAUUUACUUAUUUAUUUUUAAGACGGAGUCCUGCUGUGUUGUCCAGGCUGGUCUUGAACCCCUGGACUCAAACGAUCUUUCUCCUUGGCCUCCCAAAGUUCUGGGAUUACAGGUAUGAGCUACAGUGCCCUGAGAGUCCUUUUUAAAGUAGUGAAUGCUCAAACAUGGAAUUAAAUUUAGGCAAAGCUCACUUUUAUUUAUACAUAAAACAACUUCAGCCAUGUACCUCAUAACGAUAUUUUGGCCAAUGUCUGACCUUAUAUACAAUGGUUGUCCUGUACGAUUAUAAUGAAGCUGAAAAUUUUCUAUUGCCUAGUAACAUUGUAGUAAUUGUAAUGUAGCACAACCUAUCACACGUGUUUGUAGUGAUGCUGGUGUAAACAAACCGACUGCAUUGCCAGUCUAGUAUAAAAGUCUAGCACACACAAUUAUCCACAGUAUAUAAUAGUUGAUAAUGAUAAUAAACAACUGUCACUGGCUUAUAUAUUUGCUAUACUAUACUUUUUAUCAUUAUUUUAGAGUAUAUUUAGAGUAUAUUAAGCAGCCUUAGGCAGGUCUUUCAGGAGGCAUUCCAGAAGAAGGCAUUGUUAUCAUAGGAGGUGACAGCUCCCUGUGUGUUGUUGCCCCUGAAGAACUUCCAGUGGGACAAGAUAUGGUGGUGAAAGACAGUGAUAUUGAUGAUCUUGACCCUGUGUAGGCUUAGGCUCAUGUGUUUGUGUCUUCAUUCUUUUUUUUUUUUUGAGAUGGGGUCUCGCACUGUUGCCCAGGCUGGAGUGCAGUGGCGCGACCUUGGCUCACUGCAAGCUCCGCCUCCUGGGUUGAUGCCAUUCUCCUGCCUCAGCCUCCCAAGUAGCUGGGACUACAGGUGCCCACCACUACGCCUGACUAAUUUUUUGUACUUUUAGUAGAGACGGGGUUUCACCAUGUUAGCCAGGAUGGUCUUGAUCUCCUGACCUCGUGAUCCGCCCGCCUCGGCCUCCCAAAGUGCUGGGAUUACAGUAUUUAAGACAUUUUUAUAAAUUAAAAAUUUUUUAAAUAGAAAAAAGCCUAUAGCAUAAGGAUAUAAAGAAAAAGUAUUUUUAUGCAGCUGCACAAUGUAUUUGUGUUUUAAACUGUGUUAUUAUGCAAGAGUUACAGAGUUUUUAAAAAUAAAAAGUUUAUAAAGUAAAAAACUUACAACACAUCAAAAGAUAAUACACCAUGAUCAAGUGGGCUUU